rnacentral:lncRNA from 1 species
UGUUUUCCUUUUCGCUUUGCCGAUCAUUUACACUGGUAUUUUCUUACUCAGAUUCAAAUAUUCCGAUAAAUCCACUUUUCUUUGACGAUCAUUCAUCAGAUCUAUGCUUUAGGCCCUCGUCAUUUGAUCAUUAUUCACGCGAACCACACAGAUCUCUCAAAUAGAAACUAAGCCCAUCUGUCCUCAAAUCAUUUCCACUAAUAUAUAGUCUCAACUGCAGAUCGAACCUCAGAGACAUGCAGAGGCGAUGCCAGAUCGUUCCUCCGUGGAAUAGAUGUGAACCGCUUGCCAUCGACGGCCGACUGCGAAGAAGAGGCCGGCGUUUCAUCACCAAACAGCACGAUUUCCAGCGUAAGCGGGAAAAGAAGCGAGAGAGAAGCAAACGGAGACGAGCAUGAGAUGGAGAGAGCUUGUUCUCGCGGAAUCAGCGACGAAGAAGAUGGCGACACUUCGAGAAAGAAGCUUAGACUCUCUAAGGAUCAGUCCGCGAUUCUCGAAGAAAACUUCAAAGAACACAACACUCUCAAUCCAGUAAGUAGCCUACAGUGAUUCUGUGUUUGGUUUCUGAGAAAAAGGAGGAAAAAAGAGAAAAUUUUCUUCCGAGGGGUAUUUUGGUAUUUUUGCUGAAAAUGGAGGGGUUGAUACUUGCAGAAGCAAAAGCUGGCCUUGGCUAAGCAACUGAACCUGAGACCAAGACAGGUGGAGGUGUGGUUUCAGAACAGAAGGGCAAGGUGAGACAAUUCUUCUAUGUCUGAAGGGCAUUUUCGGCAUUAAAAGUGUAGAAUUACAGUUAUACCCUUGGGGCCUGAUGUUUUGAGUGGGGAAAUUUUGACAGGACCAAGUUGAAGCAAACGGAGGUUGACUGUGAGUUCUUGAAGAGAUGCUGCGAGAAUCUGACGGAGGAGAACAGACGGUUGCAGAAGGAGGUGAAUGAGCUGAGAGCACUGAAACUUUCCCCACAGUUCUACAUGCAAAUGACCCCACCCACAACCCUCACCAUGUGCCCAUCAUGUGAGCGUGUGGCGGUCCCACCUCCCUCGUCGGAGGCUCGCUCCCACCAGAUGGCCACCACCCACCACCGUCCCAUCCCCAUCAACCCUUGGGCCACCGCCACUCCCAUCCCCCACCGCCCCUUCGACGCCCUCCAUCCUCGCUCCUGAUUAGCACAGUUGUCGAAGGGCUUUUUGGUCAUUAAAAAUUAUGUGUACGAAAGGAGAGGAAGGAG